GUUGCAGCACGCCCUCGGAAUGGCAGGGGAAGCAUCCCGAGGCAUUUCCUGGUCUGACAGGGAGGUGGAGGUGCUCCUGCGGGGCCUGGUCCAGGGCAAUGGGCCCCUAGAAUGGUUAAUGUGCCCAGGGACCCAGAGGAAUGGAUUUUUCUUUGUUGGGGCAUCCCGCUACAUGGCCCGCAAGGGCUUCAAUAGGGACCCUAGGCAAUGCCGCACAAAAUUCAAAAAGCUACNUGCGGCAUACUUUGCCCUCCGUCGGGCUGGACAAGGGCACCCCCCAGAGGAAGAGCACCCUCCAUGNUAUCCAGCCAUGCACCAGAUAUGGAGGGAUGCAGGCCGGCCUCCUGUACCAGGACUACAUGCAGCCACAGGACGUUCCCGGCAGGUGCAGCCAAGGGCCAGACCGGCGGCCAGGGUGGAGGCAGGCACUGCAGAGGCAACAGGCAUGUCGGCCUCAUCCACAGCAUCACAGCAGGAGGAGGAUGUGGAGAGUGACGAGCCGGGACCUGCUGCUCCCACCACCAGGGAACAUUACAGCGAGGGCCCCUCACAUCCCAGGGAGGAGGCCCGGGCCCAGCAGGUGUCGGAGGUGCACUCCCCCACCCUGCAGCCCGGGUGCCAGGGGCCAGCAACACCGGGUCCNUCCAGGGGCAUGGAAGAGCUGCCACCUGCCUUCCAGCAGGCCCCUCCACCAUCUCUGUCAGCAUGGGCGGCCUUUGCCCUUGGGCGACAACAGGCUCCACCACCUGGCACAACCUCCACAGCCACGCAGACUGGUCCAGCCACCAUAGAGGAGCAGCUGCAUGAGCUCAGGGACUGCGUGGAACGGAACAGUGAGUAACCCUUUGCCAUUCCCCAAUGCAUGCUGUCCUGCCAAGGUGCGAAAUGGGAAGGUGCUGUCCUGCCACCAAAGAUGGCCAUGGUCAUCAUGCAGGGCANGCAGGGCGCCGAUGUCUGCCGGCCCAUGCAUGCAUGGUGCUUGCAGAUAGGCCCUGCCUGGCAGCGGGAUUUGGGGAGGGGUUCAAUGUUAGCCCCCAUGAGAGGUGGCACGGCACAUACAUGGNGGGUUUGCCCCAUGUCCCUAGGAAGACAUUGCAUGGUCUGUCCCCUGUGCCACACUCAAUGCACAAUCNNUGUGCCUUCCCUGUCCACAGCUGCUCUGCUGGGCCAUGUCAUCUGACGGCAGGACCGGAUCCUGGACCUCCUUGAGCAGCAAUGGAGGCAUUCGGUGCAGACAGGAGGGGGGUCUGCCUCCAGCUCCCCAGGCACACGCUGGCAAGGCCCGUAAGGCACAUGGCCCGGGACAUGGACAAUCAUACAGCAGGCCGCAUGUGGAGCAACAUGUGGCUGCUGAGCACAUAAAUGGUAGGGCACUUUAUUUUAUUUUCUGGAACAUAGCUCUUUAUUUGUGUUAUGAAUAAAUUUUUUGCUUGUUACA
rnacentral:lncRNA from 1 species